GCCUGGCAAAUCCCAAAAACUAAACGUACCCAGUUCGGAUUGUAGUCUGCAACCCGACUACAUGAAGCUGGAAUCGCUAGUAAUCGCGAAUCAGAAUGUCGCGGUGAAUACGUUCCCGGGUCUUGUACACACCGCCCGUCACACCAUGGGAGUCGGAAAUGCCCGAAGUCAGUGACCCAACCGCAAGGAGGGAGCUGCCGAAGGUGGAGCCGAUGACUGGGGUGAAGUCGUAACAAGGUAAC
rnacentral:rRNA from 1 species